UGACCGCUGAAACACUUUCUGAAAACAUUGCAGGAAUCGCACAUUCAAUUGGUGACCCUCCAGCCCAUGUCUUCCAACUUGCCACACCGGCCAGCGCCACAAGUAUAUUCGAUGUAACAGUAGUGUGAAGUCGAUCGGAAUAAUCCUGUA
ensembl:ncRNA W04D2.11 ncRNA